UACGGAGGGUGCGAGCGUUGUCCGGAAUCACUGGGCGUAAAGGGCGCGUAGGCGGCCCGGAAAGUAGGGGGUGAAAUCUUGCGGCUUAACCGCAAGGCUGCCUUCUAAACUGCCAGGCUCGAGCACAGUAGAGGCAGGUGGAAUUCCCGGUGUAGCGGUGGAAUGCGUAGAGAUCGGGGAAGAACAUCGGUGGCGAAGGCGGCCUGCUGGGCUGUUGCUGACGCUGAGGCGCGACAGCGUGGGGAGCAAACAGG
rnacentral:rRNA from 1 species